GGAGGGUUAGCUCAGCUGUAGAGCGCAUGCUUAGCAUGCAGGAGGCCCUAGGUUCAAUGCCCAGUACUUCCG
rnacentral:tRNA from 1 species